GACAGAGGGUGCAACCGUUGUUCGGAAUUACUGGGCGUAAAGCGCGUGUAGGCGGCCCGGAAAGUCGGAUGUGAAAGCCCUGGGCUUAACCUAGGAAGUGCAUUCGAAACUGCUGGGCUUGAGUUCUGGAGAGGAAGGCGGAAUUCUCGGUGUAGAGGUGAAAUUCGUAGAUAUCGAGAGGAACACCGGUGGCGAAGGCGGCCUUCUGGACAGUGACUGACGCUGAGACGCGAAAGCGUGGGGAGCAAACAGG
rnacentral:rRNA from 1 species